rnacentral:rRNA from 1 species
CAGUAGCCGCGGGAACACGGAGGGGGCUAGCGUUGUUCGGAAUUACUGGGCGUAAAGCGCACGUAGGCGGCUUGGUAAGUUAGAGGUGAAAGCCUGGAGCUCAACUCCAGAAUUGCCUUUAAGACUGCCGAGCUAGCAGGUGAGAGAGGUAAGUGGAAUUCCGAGUGUAGAGGUGAAAUUCGUAGAUAUUCGGAAGAACACCAGUGGCGAAGGCGGCUUACUGGCUCAUACUGGACGCUGAGGUGCGAAAGCGUGGGGAGCAAACAGGAUUAGAGACCCCAGUAGUCCCUGUCUCUUAUAC